rnacentral:rRNA from 1 species
AGUGAACGCUGGCGGUAGGCCUAACACAUGCAAGUCGAACGGCAGCACAGUAAGAGCUUGCUCUUACGGGUGGCGAGUGGCGGACGGGUGAGGAAUACAUCGGAAUCUACUUUUUCGUGGGGGAUAACGUAGGGAAACUUACGCUAAUACCGCAUACGACCUACGGGUGAAAGCAGGGGAUCUUCGGACCUUGCGCGAUUGAAUGAGCCGAUGCCGGAUUAGCUAGUUGGCGGGGUAAAGGCCCACCAAGGCGACGAUCCGUAGCUGGUCUGAGAGGAUGAACAGCCACACUGGAACUGAGACACGGUCCAGACUCCUACGGGAGGCAGCAGUGGGGAAUAUUGGACAAUGGGCGCAAGCCUGAUCCAGCCAUACCGCGUGGGUGAAGAAGGCCUUCGGGUUGUAAAGCCCUUUUGUUGGGAAAGAAAAGCAGCAGGUUAAUACCCCGCUGUUCUGACGGUACCCAAAGAAUAAGCACCGGCUAACUUCGU